GGUAAAAAUUUUAAGGGCGGAUGGUGGAUGCCUUGGGAAGUUGAGGCGACGAAGGACGUGGCGUGUCUGCGAUAAGCCUCGGGGAGGUGGCUAGCAACCUUUGAUCCGGGGAUUUCCGAAUGGGAAAACCCAAUCCCGUAAAACGGGAUUACCGAGCGCAUGAUUAAUGUGUUCGGAGCAAACCCGCUGAAGCGAAACAUCAUAGUAAGCGGAGGAAAAGAAAAAAACGCAAAGCAUUAGCUUUGCAAAAUUCCCUUAGUAGCGGCGAGCGAAAAGGGAGAAAGCCCAAACCUAUUGCUCCUCACUUUUGUUCGACACGAACUUCAUCUUAACAUCUUAACACAUAAACAUUUAAACACAUUUGGCUCAGAUGAUUUUGUUUAAAUGUUAAAAUGUUCAAAUGUUUAAAUGAAGCGAGUGGCGAGCAGCAGCGAGGAGCGAUGGGGGUUGUAAGGGAAUAAUGUCGGGAGUUUCCCGCCCACAUUUAUUUGUGUGCGGGAUACUUCUGAGGGAGAAAAUUAGAUAAAGGUUGGUUAGAAGAAUUUCCCUGGAAAGGGAAGCCAAAGAGGGUAAUAGCCCCGUAUUCGAAAACUUCUUUAUGCUCCUUGUUAUUUUUCUUGAGUACCUCGGGAAACGGAAACCCUGAGGGAAACAGGCCGGACUAAUCGGCCAAGGCUAAAUACUCAACUUCACCGAUAGUGAACCAGUACCGUGAGGGAAAGGUGAAAAGCAGGGAGGUGAUCCCGGUGAAAUAGAACCUGAAACCAUCUCGCUCACAAGGAGUCAGAGCCCCCCACUUUCUGAUUUUAAAAAUUGAAGUUAGAAAGUGGGGGGUGAUGGCGUGCCUAUUGAAGAAUGAGCCAACGACUUUAUGUAUGUUGCUGACUAAUCCCUUCCAGGGAGGAGUCACAGGGAAACCGAGUGUUAAAAGCGCGAUUUUUAGCAGCAUGCGUAAGACCCGAAGCCAAGCGAGCUUGCCAUGACCAGGGUGAAUUUCGCCGAAAGGCGAAAGGAGGCCCGAACCCGUGAGCCGUGCAAUACUCUGGGAUGAGUUGUGGUAAGAAGUGAAAAGCUAAUCGAGCUUGGUAAUAGCUGGUUCUCCCCGAAAUAGCUUUUGGGCUAGCGGUGUUAAAAUUUUUUCCGGAGGUAGAGCACUGGAAGGAACAUCUUGGAGAAAUCCAGAUAUUCCUACCAAACUCCGAAUGCCGGAAGAUGUAGACACCAGUCAGAACUUGGGCACUAAGGUCCGAGCUCAAAAGGGAAACAGCCCAGAUCUUCAUCUAAGGUCCCUAAACCAAACUAAGUGUUUUUAAGGAAGUGGGAUUCCUCUGAUAGUUAGGAGGUUAGCUCAGAAGCAGCUAUCCUUUAAAAAGUGCGUAAUAGCUUACUAACUAAGGAGUCCUGCGCCGAAGAUUUACGGGACUAAGUUUGGUACCGAAGAUAAGGACUUUUAUGUUUUAACAUAAAAUUGGUAGGGGAGCGUCCCACACUUUGUGAAGCCGAGCCGUAAGGCCAGGUGGAAGGUGUGGGAGUGAGAAUGUUGGCAUGAGUAACCGCAAUCCCGCUGAGAAAACGGGACACCGUAAACCCAAGGUUUCCUUGGCAAUGAUAAUCAACCAAGGGUUAGGCGGGCCUAAUCCCUCGACCGAAAGGUCUCGGGAGAUGGACAGCCGGUUAAUAUUCCGGCCCGUCCGUAAGAUAAACAUAAGGCGACGCAGUUAAAGUUUUUGAGAGGAUUAUUGGAUUUCCUUAUUUCCGCUUUUGGCGGGAAGUUCUCAAAGAUUAGAUUGCCCAGAAAAACCUUUAAUAUACUAUCUUAUGGACCCCGUACCGCAAACUGACACAGGUGGGUUAGUGUGAAUACACUAAGGUGAACGAGUGAAACUUCGUUAAGGAACUAGGCAAAAAAGUGGUCGUAACUUCGGGAUAAGACCUACCCCCCACCACUUUGUACGGAUUUCUAAUUCACUUGCAAAUUUUAUUUAUAAUAAUUUUGUAAGUUGAUUUUUGAAGUCUUUAUAAAGUGGUGGGGGGUCGCAGCGAAAGUAACCCCAGGCGACUGUUUAUCAAAAACACAGGUCCCUGCUUAAUUCGUAAGAAGAUGUAUAGGGGCUGAGGCCUGACCAGUGCUGGAACGUUAAUCUCGUUGGUCCAUGCCGCAAGGUAUGGGCUAAAUGGGUGAAGCGCCAGUGAACGUCGGCGAUAACUAUAAUCGUCUUAAAGUAGCGUAGUCCCUUGCCGGGUAAGUUCCGGCCCGCAUGAAAGGCUUCACGACUUGGGGACUGUCUCAACGAAGCGCUCGGUGAAAAUGCAAUACCGGUAAAGAUGCCGGUUACCUGCAGCUAGACGGAAAGACCCCGGGAGCUUUACUGUAGUCAGACAUUGAGUCUUGAUUUUAGAUGCGUAGCGUAGCGGGUAGGCUUUGAGUUCCGACUUUCGGGUCGGGAGGAGCCGCCAAUGAAACACCCGUCUUUUGGAAUCUUUAUUCUAAUCUCGCUUUUGGCGGGAAACAGUGUUUGAUGGGCAGUUUAAGUGGGGCGCUUGCCUUAACUUUUGCAAACAUAAACGCGUUUGCAAUGGGGCCGUUCAGAAGUAAUUCUGAACGUAAACUCGACUAAUAUGCUGGAACAUCCGAGUAUCCAAAGGUACUUAAUUAUCGAGUUUCCGCUUCGCGGAAACGAAGAGGAAGAAGAGAUUUAUCUCUUCGACUUUGGUAAAAUAAAAUUAAGUGAAAAUCUUUUGGUGCGGACAAUCAGCAGGGAAGUUGUUUUUUUAAAUGACACCCUCAACGACUACACGUCGAGUCCCUGUAAAAUUUGCAGGGUAGUAAUAUAGUCUGAACUUUAUGGCGACAUAAAGAUUCGGUAAUGUUAAUUCCAUUAAGCGCCAAUUAACUAAUCCAAGACUUAAAACUCUAAUCUAUGAGAAGUAGGGCAAUAGAAGAAUACAAAAGCAAACUUUCUUUAAGCGAUAGACAAGAAGAAAUUUUAAUUGGAACAAUUUUGGGAGACGGACAUUUAGAAAAAUUGUACACUCCCGAAUUGAGCCGGUUAAAAAUAGAACAUAGUUAUAAGCAGAAAGAAUAUGUUGAUUGGUUUUAUCAAGAAUUCAAAAAUUGGAUUCGGACAAAGCCAAAGCAAAAAAUAAAGAAAGUUUGGGGUAAAAUUCAUAAAAAUUAUGGACUUACAACCUACGGUCAUAGAUUAUUAGGGAAUUUUCAGAAAGAUUUUUACAGAAAAAAGAAAAAAGUUGUACCAGAUGAUUUAUUCAAGGAUAUAACAGCUUUAUCGUUAGCGGUUUGGUUUAUGGACGAUGGUUCAAUAAAAUCAAACAAACAUAAAGGAGUGUUUCUUAAUACUCAAAGUUUUAGCAAAAAAGAUGUUAAAACUUUACAGGAUAUUUUAGAAAAUAAAUUUGGUGUAACAAGUUCUGUGAAGAAAGACGGAAUAGGAGAACAAAUAUAUUUAGGAGGGAAUUCGGGUGAAAGAUUUAUUAAAAUGAUCGAAUUAUUUGUAAUUCCUUCUAUGAGAUAUAAAAUUCCAAGAGUUCUAAGGUUAACAGAAUUGCCUAAAGAGUAACGGAGGCGUUUAAAGGUUGGCUAGCUCCGGAUGGAAAUCGGAGUGGUCGGGUAAAGCCGAAAGCCAGCUUGACUGCAAGAGGGAUAUCUCGCGCAGGCACGAAAGUGGAACUUAGUGAACCGAUG
rnacentral:rRNA from 1 species